AUAUAUGAUAUUAUCCAAGUCUUUCUUAUCUAAUAUUUGUUUUUUUUUUAUCUAUAAAAUUUGAAUGAACCUCGUUGGGUGAAACGAUACUGUUUACACAUCGCACACAUACGCAAUCACGCACGUAAGCACGUACGCACGCACACACACAUACACAUACACAACAUAUGUUGCACAACACACACAUAUAUAUACAAUUAAACUUGAAAUGGUUAUGUUAGUUUUCUUUACGAAAUCGAUCCUUCUCAUUUUUCAAAAAUGAUGAAGCUCUACGUAUUUUUUACGAUUUUCUUCGUAGCUAUGAUCAUAUUAACAACAGCUGAGAUCGAAGAGAAAUAUGUAGAGAAUGCAUAUACCUGCACAAUUCAAGAUUGUCACACAAAUUGUUGGCUGAACGGUGCUAGAAGUGGGUUUUGCGAAGGAUCCGAAUGUAUUUGCUAUAAUCUGAAAUAAGAAUAACAUUCAUUCUCAUUAUAAUUGAACUUCAUCGUUGUCGAAGAAACUUCUAGAAAAAUAAUAAUAAUAAUUUCCUGUUUAUAUAAUCGUGUUAUAUUCUUCACGUUCGAUUGAUUUUUCUUAAAAUGUAAUAAACUUGAAAAUUUGAUUAAUUUCCGUAAUUAAAACUAUCUAAUCAAAAAUCAUUCGAUUAUCGCUGAACAAGAUUAUUGAUAAUACCUAAACUGAUUUCACUUUAGAAAAAUAAAGUUAUAUAAUAUCAAAAUGUCCUUAUCGUUUCUCGAUUUUAUAUGUCUCCUUAUUUUCUCGAAUAGUAUCGAUUAAUAUAAUAAGAUUGUUAUUUUCAAUAUGAAAUUAAUUUAUUUAUCGAUUUCUUUAUCUUUCGCCUCUAUCGUGUAAUUUUAAUAUACUGCCAGUUCUCUAUACGUAUCAAACGCAUCAAGAACAGGAAGUAACUGGCGUGGAAGGGCAUGCUGAUAGACUUUGAAGAUCUUGAGUUUGCACGAUACCUGUUAUCGGCCGGAAAUAGUGCUUGAAAUACCUACUGUGUUAGUAAGGGUAAAGAGGAAGGAUAUUGCAACAGAGAUAACAAAUACAUUUAUAGUCUAUGUGAGUAUGGACUAUUUAUCUUUAGAUGUUCAGUAAAUAAUAUCAUUCAAAUAACUGUUUCUUUAGACAAUUGGAACAAGAAAUAUUUCGAGAGUAUUUGAAAUAUUUCGAAUUUGUUUGAACAAACGAUACAUUGUAUAAAUAAAGGAAUAUAUAUAUAUAUAUAUAUAUAUAUAUAUAUAUAUAUAUAUCAAUUUAGUUAUUUCUUUUUUUUUUUGUUAUUGUUAACUAUAAGACAAAAUUUUCCGACAAGUCCAUAUAGUAUUAAUUAAUAAACGAUUAAAUUAA